rnacentral:rRNA from 1 species
GCUAUAAUAUUACUUACUUCCUAUGUUUUACUAAUUAAUUUGAUUUAUGUAGAAUAUAGUCCUUAUACUAUAAAAUUAAGUUUUUACUUAUUUGAUGAAAGAACCGUCUAAAUUUUUAAGUAAUGAUGAAUGAAAAAUAUAUUAAUGUUAUAAAUAACAAGUACUGCAAAGGAAAUAAUUUUAAAACUAAUAAAUAGUAGGAAUUACAUCCCGUACCUUUUGUAUCAUGGUUCUUUUAAGUAGAUGUUUUAUAGAAAACAUUCCCGAAAAUAGUUGAGCUAUCUCAAAACUUGCGUCAGCGUGGCAAAGCUGUGCUAAGAUUUUGAGAUAGGGGUGAAACACCUACCGAAACUUUUAAUAGCUGGUUAGCUAAGAAAUGUAUGAAAGUACACACUUGUUACUAUACACCACCAGAAAUCAUUCCGCUUAAAAGUAACUUACAGUAAUGUAGGCUCACUUCAUUAGAAAAUUAAGCAGAUGAUAUUAACAAGAUCGAGAUAAAAAAGGAUAAGCUUUUUUAUCACAUUAAGAGAAUAAUCUAAAAAUUAUAUCACAUAUAGUGGGCUUAGAGUCAGCCAUCUAAAUACAUAAGUUUGUUAUAAGUUAUUCUAUACACAGUAAUCAUCUUAUACUAAUAAAAAUUUUAGGAUAAUUUUUAUACUCUAAAUUUUAAUAUUAGCUUGAUUUACUAAAUUAACUAAGUUAAUUUAUUCCUGAAGAAAUGAGUAUUUGAAAUUCAUAGUUGAAUCAAGUCGUUACGGUUAUCAUACAAAAUCAUAAAGGAAUAAUUCAACGAUUACAUGAUGAAAUAUUAAUUAUCACUAAUUGUGAUGUAUUUAAUAGAAUUCGAAAAUAAUUCUCGAGAAGGAACUCGGCAAAUAUCAUGACCCCGCCUGUUUAUCAAAAACAUCGCUCUCUGAAGUCCAAUAUAAUACAUAGGGAGUCAGGCCUGCCCAGUGACUGGCUACGUCAGUUAAACGGCCGCGGUACUCUGACCGUGCAAAGGUAGCAUAAUCAUUUGUUUUUUAAUUGAAGACUGGUAUGAACGGCUAAACGAGGGCCAUGCUGUCUCCUCUUAAUUACAUAAAAAUUAACUUUUACGUGAAGAGGCCUAAAUAAAAUUAAGGGACAAGAAGACCCUAUUGAGCUUUAGUAAAAUAACAGAUCAAAACAAAAUUCUUUAACUACAAACUUGAAAUCAAAUUCUGUUAAAUAAUCUUUAGUUGGGGCGACUGAGGAAUAAUAAAAACUUCCUUAACUCAUUAUCACCUAAUAUUAUUCCUGAAAUUAUUAUCUUGCUAUCAAGCUAAUUUAGAUCCAGUUAUAAUUCUGAUCAAUGGAAAAAGUUACCAUAGGGAUAACAGCGUAAUCUUUCUGAAGAGCUCGCAUCAAAAGAAGGGUUUACGACCUCGAUGUUGGACUAAGAUAACUUUAAGGUGCAGAAGCUUUAAACAGUUGGUCUGUUCGACCAUUAAAAUCUUACGUGAUCUGAGUUCAGACCGGCGUGAGCCAGGUUGGUUUCUAUCUUUAAUUCAUUACCAAUAUUCUUUCAACUAGUACGAAAGGACCGUUGUUAAAGUAAAAAAUUUAUUAAAAGGAAAAAAUCAAAAAUUAAAUAAAUACUAUAUAUAGAAAUCAAAAAAUUCUCUUACACCAG